rnacentral:rRNA from 1 species
GGGUUGUGAGGUUAAGCGACUAAGCGUACACGGUGGAUGCCCUGGCAGUCAGAGGCGAUGAAGGGCGUGCUAAUCUGCGAUAAGCGCCGGUAAGGUGAUAUGAACCGUUAUAACCGGCGAUACCCGAAUGGGGAAACCCAGUGUGACUCGUCACACUAUCAUUAACUGAAUCCAUAGGUUAAUGAGGCGAACCGGGGGAACUGAAACAUCUAAGUACCCCGAGGAAAAGAAAUCAACCGAGAUUCCCCCAGUAGCGGCGAGCGAACGGGGAGGAGCCCAGAGCCUGAAUCAGCAUGUGUGUUAGUGGAAGCGUCUGGAAAGGCGCGCGAUACAGGGUGACAGCCCCGUACACAAAAGCGCAUGUGCUGUGAGCUCGAUGAGUAGGGCGGGACACGUGGUAUCCUGUCUGAAUAUGGGGGGACCAUCCUCCAAGGCUAAAUACUCCUGACUGACCGAUAGUGAACCAGUACCGUGAGGGAAAGGCGAAAAGAACCCCGGCGAGGGGAGUGAAAAAGAACCUGAAACCGUGUACGUACAAGCAGUGGGAGCACAGGUUUACCUGUGUGACUGCGUACCUUUUGUAUAAUGGGUCAGCGACUUAUAUUCUGUAGCAAGGUUAACCGAAUAGGGGAGCCGGAGGGAAACCGAGUCUUAAUUGGGCGUUAAGUUGCAGGGUAUAGACCCGAAACCCGGUGAUCUAGCCAUGGGCAGGUUGAAGGUUGGGUAACACUAACUGGAGGACCGAACCGACUAAUGUUGAAAAAUUAGCGGAUGACCUGUGGCUGGGGUGAAAGGCCAAUCAAACCGGGAGAUAGCUGGUUCUCCCCGAAAGCUAUUUAGGUAGCGCCUCGUGAAUUCAUCUCCGGGGGUAGAGCACUGUUUCGGCUAGGGGGCCAUCCCGGCUUACCAACCCGAUGCAAACUGCGAAUACCGGAGAAUGUUAUCACGGGAGACACACGGCGGGUGCUAACGUCCGUCGUGAAGAGGGAAACAACCCAGACCGCCAGCUAAGGUCCCAAAGUCAUGGUUAAGUGGGAAACGAUGUGGGAAGGCCCAGACAGCCAGGAUGUUGGCUUAGAAGCAGCCAUCAUUUAAAGAAAGCGUAAUAGCUCACUGGUCGAGUCGGCCUGCGCGGAAGAUGUAACGGGCUAAACCAUGCACCGAAGCUGCGGCAGCGACACUCAGGUGUUGUUGGGUAGGGGAGCGUUCUGUAAGCCUGUGAAGGUGUGCUGUGAGGCAUGCUGGAGGUAUCAGAAGUGCGAAUGCUGACAUAAGUAACGAUAAAGCGGGUGAAAAGCCCGCUCGCCGGAAGACCAAGGGUUCCUGUCCAACGUUAAUCGGGGCAGGGUGAGUCGACCCCUAAGGCGAGGCCGAAAGGCGUAGUCGAUGGGAAACGGGUUAAUAUUCCCGUACUUGGUGUUACUGCGAAGGGGGACGGAGAAGGCUAUGUUGGCCGGGCGACGGUUGUCCCGGUUUAAGCGUGUAGGUGUGUGGUAAAUCCGGUUCACUUUAACACUGAGGCGUGAUGACGAGGCACUACGGUGCUGAAGCAACAAAUGCCCUGCUUCCAGGAAAAGCCUCUAAGCAUCAGGUAACAUCAAAUCGUACCCCAAACCGACACAGGUGGUCAGGUAGAGAAUACCAAGGCGCUUGAGAGAACUCGGGUGAAGGAACUAGGCAAAAUGGUGCCGUAACUUCGGGAGAAGGCACGCUGACACGUAGGUGAAGUGAUUUACUCAUGGAGCUGAAGUCAGUCGAAGAUACCAGCUGGCUGCAACUGUUUAUUAAAAACACAGCACUGUGCAAACACGAAAGUGGACGUAUACGGUGUGACGCCUGCCCGGUGCCGGAAGGUUAAUUGAUGGGGUCAGCGCAAGCGAAGCUCCUGAUCGAAGCCCCGGUAAACGGCGGCCGUAACUAUAACGGUCCUAAGGUAGCGAAAUUCCUUGUCGGGUAAGUUCCGACCUGCACGAAUGGCGUAAUGAUGGCGAGGCUGUCUCCACCCGAGACUCAGUGAAAUUGAACUCGCUGUGAAGAUGCAGUGUACCCGCGGCAAGACGGAAAGACCCCGUGAACCUUUACUAUAGCUUGACACUGAACAUUGAGCCUUGAUGUGUAGGAUAGGUGGGAGGCUUUGAAGUGUGGACGCCAGUCUGCAUGGAGCCGGCCUUGAAAUACCACCCUUUAAUGUUUGAUGUUCUAACGUGGACCCGUGAUCCGGGUUGCGGACAGUGUCUGGUGGGUAGUUUGACUGGGGCGGUCUCCUCCUAAAGAGUAACGGAGGAGCACGAAGGUUGGCUAAUCCUGGUCGGACAUCAGGAGGUUAGUGCAAUGGCAUAAGCCAGCUUGACUGCGAGCGUGACGGCGCGAGCAGGUGCGAAAGCAGGUCAUAGUGAUCCGGUGGUUCUGAAUGGAAGGGCCAUCGCUCAACGGAUAAAAGGUACUCCGGGGAUAACAGGCUGAUACCGCCCAAGAGUUCAUAUCGACGGCGGUGUUUGGCACCUCGAUGUCGGCUCAUCACAUCCUGGGGCUGAAGUAGGUCCCAAGGGUAUGGCUGUUCGCCAUUUAAAGUGGUACGCGAGCUGGGUUUAGAACGUCGUGAGACAGUUCGGUCCCUAUCUGCCGUGGGCGCUGGAGAACUGAGGGGGGCUGCUCCUAGUACGAGAGGACCGGAGUGGACGCAUCACUGGUGUUCGGGUUGUCAUGCCAAUGGCACUGCCCGGUAGCUAAAUGCGGAAGAGAUAAGUGCUGAAAGCAUCUAAGCACGAAACUUGCCCCGAGAUGAGUUCUCCCUGAGACUUUAGGUCUCCUGAAGGAACGUUGAAGACGACGACGUUGAUAGGCCGGGUGUGUAAGCGCAGCGAUGCGUUGAGCUAACCGGUACUAAUGAACCGUGAGGCUUAACCUUACAACGCCGAAG